rnacentral:snRNA from 1 species
GGAUGUGAGGGCCAUGUGGCUGUGAUACCUGUCACCCAAGUGUUUUUUCUCCAGGAUGGCUCUGGCUGUUGUGGCUGACUAGAUGGGUGUCUCCCCUCCCCUCACUGUGCAGCCCACCGGAAGCUGUGUACUUGGCCACAAAGAACAACCUUCUCGGGGCGCCUGAGUGGCUCAGUGGUUGAGCGUCUGCCUUCAGUUCAGAGCGUGAUCCCGGAGUCCUGGGAUCAAGUCCCACGUCAGGCUCCACACUGGGAGCCUGCUUCU